rnacentral:tRNA from 2 species
UCCGGCGUCGUCCAAGGGUAGGACUGCGGACUUUGGAUCCGUCUAUGUUGGUUCGAAUCCAGCCGCCGGAG